UGCUGCAAUUUAGCACCUACUAGAUUUUACUAGUCCAUCUUGUCUUAAAAAAAAAAAGAAGAAAAUGAACAAGCACCAUGACCAACUAAAUUCCCAAAUGCACACAAUUUUUAAAAGGUUAUGAUUGAGCAUUAAGUGCAAAAAAGCACAAGUUUAAACGUGUUUCAUACUAUCAAAAUAUAGACAUAAAAUAAUUCGAUGCACAAGAAAUAAUGUAAACAUAAUAUUUAAAAUGUCACCAUCUUGAUAACCAAACGAAUUCAUCAUCUUUCAAGUUUUGGGCACAAACAAAAUAUAGAUUUUUAACAAAUAAACUAGAUAACCAUCAUCACAUGAUUUCCCCUAUGACAAGUGUCGAUAACAAGCAAGGUUUGCCAAAUUGGUACCAGUGGGUGUAUCGACCUACGACCGAUUCGGCACGGUACAAAUGUGUACCAUGCUGUCCUAGAGCUUACUGAAAACAAGAAGAGGGAGGGAGAGGG
rnacentral:lncRNA from 1 species